UACAGAGGGGGCGAGCGUUGUCCGGAGUCACUGGGCGUAAAGGGCGCGCAGGCGGCCGCGCCGGCCAUCCCCGUGAAAGCCCCCGGCUCAACCGGGCGGUGGCGGGUGGACCGCGCGGCUGGAGGGUGGGAGAGGCGGGCGGAAUUCCCGGUGUAGUGGUGAAAUGCGUAGAUACCGGGAGGAACACCCGCGGCGAAGGCGGCCCGCUGGGCCAUCCCUGACGCUGAGGCGCGAAGGCCAGGGGAGCGAACGGG
rnacentral:rRNA from 1 species